rnacentral:rRNA from 1 species
GACGAACGCUGGCGGCGUGCCUAACACAUGCAAGUCGAACGGAACUGUUUUGAAAGAUUUCUUCGGAAUGAAUUUGAUUUAGUUUAGUGGCGGACGGGUGAGUAACGCGUGAGUAACCUGCCUUCAAGAGGGGGAUAACAUUCUGAAAAGAAUGCUAAUACCGCAUGACAUAUCGGAACCACAUGGUUUUGAUAUCAAAGAUUUUAUCGCUUGAAGAUGGACUCGCGUCCGAUUAGUUAGUUGGUGAGGUAACGGCUCACCAAGACCGCGAUCGGUAGCCGGACUGAGAGGUUGAACGGCCACAUUGGGACUGAGACACGGCCCAGACUCCUACGGGAGGCAGCAGUGGGGGAUAUUGCGCAAUGGGGGCAACCCUGACGCAGCAACGCCGCGUGAAGGAUGAAGGUUUUCGGAUUGUAAACUUCUUUUAUUAAGGACGAAAAUUGACG